rnacentral:sRNA from 1 species
AAUAUUUUAGUAAAAAUGGCGGAUUCGAAUGACCUGCAGUGCCAGAAGAAGAUCGAUCCUCACUUUGGAACUAAAGCCAUUCACGUGGGCCAAAGUCCCGACCAGUGGUCUUUUAGAGACGUCGUUCCUCCGAUUUCGUUGACCACCACCUACAAACAAUUCGGUCCAAACGAUCAUGCUGGAUUCGAGUACAGCAGAGGCGGAAAUCCGACAAGACAAGUGUUGCAGAACUGCAUUGCUUCGCUGGAUUGUGGCAAACACGGUCUGACCUUUGCGUCCGGCCUAGCCGCCACUACGGCCGUGAUCCAACUGUUGCAGGCUGGAGACCACAUUUUGUGCGGCGAUGACAUGUACGGUGGCACAAAUCGGUACUUCUCGAAGAUCGCGUCUAAAUUCAAUGUGAAAUUCACAAUGACUGACAUGACGGACGACAAGAACGUAGCGAAAUUGAUUUUGCCCGAGACCAAGUUGGUGUGGAUGGAGAGCCCUACAAACCCAUGCAUGAGAGUUGUAGACUUGGAAUCGAUUUCGACGAUUGUUCAUAACAUACGAAAAGACAUCAUCAUAGUUGUCGACAACACGUUCCAGACACCUUAUUUCCAA